CAGGGAGAUGGCUUUGAACAUGCAAUCUAUUGUAACUUCUGCACCUGUUGGCUCUCACCAAGGCGCGUGCUAAAAAGGACAUUUGGCAGUACAAAUCGUUAGGUACUGAGCUCAUUUAUAUGAUGCCCAUGUUCAGUUUAAGUUCAGCUUUAGUGUAUCCACUUUCCACUUGUUCAGUGACUUUACUGCAUAAUUUGUGCAUCUGAAUGUGGGUUGUAAUUGUAUGGAUGGAUAAGGUUUUUAUUUUUUAUUUUCUUUGUUGGGGUGGGAUUUGAUGGACAAGGUAUUGAAGGGAAAAGUUGUUGACAUGAUUGAGAGAAAAUGGGGUUCAUGUAGUUCAUGUGAAUCUUCAAAGUUGAAGUGCAGCUUAUGCUCUGUUUGGAAAUUGUAAUAAGAUGGGUGGAAGAGUUUUAUUCUAUAUACUAAUCAAGUUUACUGACUAA